UACGAAGGGGGCUAGCGUUGUUCGGAAUCACUGGGCGUAAAGCGCACGUAGGCGGACUCUUAAGUCGGUGGUGAAAUCCUGGAGCUCAACUCCAGAACUGCCUUCGAUACUGAGAGUCUCGAGUCCGGGAGAGGUGAGUGGAACUGCGAGUGUAGAGGUGAAAUUCGUAGAUAUUCGCAAGAACACCAGUGGCGAAGGCGGCUCACUGGCCCGGUACUGACGCUGAGGUGCGAAAAGCGUGGGGAGCAAACAGG
rnacentral:rRNA from 1 species